GGGCUCACUUCAGCAGCACAUAUCCUAAAAUUGGAAGGAUACAGAGGAGAUUAGCACCGUCCCUGUGCAAGGAUGACAUGCAAAUUCCUGAAUCCUUCCAUAUUUUU